UGAUUUACUAAUCGCCUCGGCAACUCAAGAAACUGCUCUUGCUUCCACCACAGUUAGGUCUAUUUCCAUCACCUUGACCGACCUGGAUGUGCUUGAUUGUCCUAUUUGCUAUGAAUCCUUGACCAUCCCCGUCUUUCAGUGCUCUGGUUUGGGGGUCUAGCGCAAAACACAAGCCCUAAAGAGUUGGAAAGGAGCAUCUGCUCGAAGAUGAGGAUAUUGUUUAGAUUAUCAAAAAGGUGUGAUUUGGCAGGAACUCAGAAAUAUGUGCAACCUUAGCAUCAAGAUAUCGUUUGUAGGACUAAAGCUUUUGAGACACACAAGCUUGUACUUUGCAGAGUAUACAACACUCUUUUUGUCUGUUCUUUUAGUCGUAAGGGUAGGUAAUGUUUAAGGCAGCUUGUUAAGUGAUAUCAAGGAAUCUUACUGCACCUUUUUGUUAUCAAAGCUAUUCUUGAUAUAUAAGGAAGCUAAGAAGUUUGCUUAUUAGAAUGGAGCAAAGGUGGUUGCUGUUUAUGGUGGAGCGCCAAUGGGUCAGCAGGUUUGUGUCUCUGCAGGCUCACUGGCCAUUCUGUUUUCUGUGACCACUUCUAUGAUUCGGGUGAUUCCAUUCAUGAUCAGAUUGUGAAACUGGUACAGCAGUACACCUAGCUAGUUCCUUUAUUAACUUGUGUCUAGUAGAAAUUUUUCAUUCAUUAAGCAUUUGAACUUGUCUGCAGAUCCAGAUUAGUGGAUAUGGGUUAUUUUGAACUGAUGUUCAUGAUUAGGUUUGUAUACAUGAGACAAUGGUGGAUUAAUGGAAAUUGCAAUGAAUGAUUUUGGAUGUGGA